rnacentral:rRNA from 1 species
AUUGAACGCUGGCGGCAUGCCUUACACAUGCAAGUCGAACGGCAGCACGGGAGCAAUCCUGGUGGCGAGUGGCGAACGGGUGAGUAAAGUAUCGGAACGUGCCCAGUCGUGGGGGAUAACGUAGCGAAAGUUACGCUAAUACCGCAUACGAUCUAUGGAUGAAAGCGGGGAAUCGCAAGACCUCGCGCGAUUGGAGCGGCCGAUAUCAGAUUAGGUAGUUGGGGGGGUAAAGGCUCACCAAGCCGACGAUCUGUAUCUGGUCUGAGAGGACGACCAGCCACACUGGGACUGAGACACGGCCCAGACUCCUACGGGAGGCAGCAGUGGGGAAUUUUGGACAAUGGGCGAAAGCCUGAUCCAGCCAUGCCGCGUGCAGGAUGAAGGCCUUCGGGUUGUAAACUGCUUUUGUACGGAACGAAAAGGUUUGGCCUAAUAAGCUGAGCUCAUGACGGUACCGUAAGAAUAAGCACCGGCUAACUACGUGCCAGCCGCCGCCGUAA